GUUGACCUCGGAUCAGGUAGGGAUACCCGCUGAACUUAAGCAUAUCAAUAAGCGGAGGAAAAGAAACCAACAGGGAUUGCCCUAGUAACGGCGAGUGAAGCGGCAAUAGCUCAAAUUUGAAAGCUGGCCUUUGGUCCGCAUUGUAAUUUGUAGAGGAUGCUUUUAGGCAGCCGCCGGUCUAAGUUCCUUGGAACAGGACGUCAUAGAGGGUGAGAAUCCCGUAUGUGACCGGCUCAGGCACCUUCUGUAAAGCUCCUUCGACGAGUCGAGUUGUUUGGGAAUGCAGCUCUAAAUGGGAGGUAAAUUUCUUCUAAAGCUAAAUACUGGCGAGAGACCGAUAGCGCA
rnacentral:rRNA from 1 species